UGUCAGCAGCCGCGGUAAUACGGAGGAUGCGAGCGUUAUCCGGAUUCAUUGGGUUUAAAGGGUGCGCAGGUGGGAAAAUAAGUCAGUGGUGAAAUACUGCCGCUUAACGGUAGAAUUGCCAUUGAUACUGUUUUUCUUGAGUAUGGUUGAGGUAGGUGGAAUGUGUUGUGUAGCGGUGAAAUGCAUAGAUAUGACACAGAACGCCGAUUGCGAAGGCAGCUUACUAAGCCAUUACUGACGCUGAGGCACGAAAGCGUGGGGAUCGAACAGGAUUAGAUACCCUGGUAGUCCACGCCGUAAACGAUGAUCACUCGCUGUUUGCGAUAUACAGCAAGCGGCUGAGCGAAAGCAUUAAGUGAUCCACCUGGGGAGUACGAUCGCAAGGUUGAAACUCAAAUGAAUUGGCGG
rnacentral:rRNA from 1 species